AUUUAUUUAUUUAUUAUUUGGUAACUUAAGAAUUAUAUAGGAAGACAAAUCCCACCCUCCUGUUCUUUCCCAUUACAUUCUACCCUUUGAUUAAUGGAAUGUUGACUCAGAGGCUUACAGGCAGUAUAGAGAGCUUGUUAGCAAUGAGCAUGCAAUACAGCAGCUGCAUACUCCUGACUCAUCAGCUCUAGAGUAGGCAGCAUCAGGAUAGGUACGGGUAGCCAUGUGAGUCUCCACUAGUAUGAAUCCAGUUAAAAUAGUACAGCUGUUUUUUUUAUGUAUUACUCCUAAGCUUUGUCCUAGAAACAGUAGAAUCAUGUGAAUCAUGGUGUCUGUCCAGGGUUGCAGAGAGAGGUAAAACUCACUAAUGCUUUCCAUGUCUUCUCAGGGUCUUCAUGCUCAUCAUUUACUGAAUUAGAUGAGGUAAUAGAACCCAUUAUAAUUUAUUUCCCCUCUUAAACCCGUUUCAGCUCUAUAAGCAGCAUCUAAGAUAUCCUGUUUGCCAACUUCUAAUUAUAAUAAAAAUGACUUGUGUAAAACAUUUUUAGGAAUGGCAAGAAGAUUUUUAUUUCAUGCAGUAUAACAUCAACUACUUUACUUACUUCUUUUAACUAUGUGGAUUCAGCCACAGUUGCACUUAAGUAGUGCAAUCUGUACGUUAUUAUACCAGAAACAAACACCUUUUAUUCUUACCAUUUUCUCAGUGUAAUAAGAAUGUGUUCACUUAGAAUUCUAUAUGUAGACUGGGCAGGCAUCCCUUGUGAGUGCAGUUCUUAGGAGAUAGCUUUGUUUACGUGAUAUUGCAUAACAUGGUAUUUCAUGUGCUAUUGUCUUUGACUGAGUCCGUGGGAUUUCAGAACCGCACUGCUUUGUCUUCUGUCCACAUGUUUCCCAAAAGUCUGGCACAUAGCAGGCAACUGGGAAAGACUCAGUAAAUAAUUAGAAAUGGUCCCUUGUGACAGCACUUU
rnacentral:lncRNA from 7 species